CUCGACAUAGCUCAGUUGGUAGAGCGAUAGACUGUAGUUGAACUUGCAUAUAUCUGUUGGCCGGGUGUUCGAUUCACCCUGUCGAGA
rnacentral:tRNA from 1 species